GGAGUUAGCCGGUGCUUCUUCUGUGAGUGAUGUCCUUCCUGCCGGCUAUUAACCCGCAGGCCUUCUUCCUCACUGAAAGUGCUUUACAACCCGAAGGCCUUCUUCACACACGCGGCAUGGCUGGAUCAGGGUUGCCCCCAUUGUCCAAUAUUCCCCACUGCUGCCUCCCGUAGGAGUCUGGGCCGUGUCUCAGUCCCAGUGUGGCUGAUCAUCCUCUCAGACCAGCUACGGAUCGUCGCCUUGGUGAGCCGUUACCUCACCAACCAGCUAAUCCGACAUAGGCUCAUCCGAUAGCGCGAGGCCCGAAGGUCCCCCGNUUUCCCCCGUAGGGCGUAUGCGGUAUUAGCCUGGGUUUCCCCAGGUUAUCCCCCACUACCGGGCAGGAUUCCUAUGCAUUACUCACCCGUUCCGCCGCUCGCCACCAGGGAGCAAGCUCCCCGUGCUGCCGCUCGACUUGCAUGUGUUAGGCCUGCCGCCAGCGUUCAAUCUGAGCCAGGAUCAAACUCUGA
rnacentral:rRNA from 1 species